AUGCAUUUUGCAGGGCAUACAUCCGAGGGUACCUAUAAUUUCACAUCCAUUGGACAACCAUCACAAAUUGGUGAAGGCUUUGAAGAUGAAAGAGAGGUCGAGGAAGUAAAAGAAACCGAUGACUUGGAGAUGAUGAAUCAAUUGCAAAGUGAUGAUGACGACUUGCAAAUUCUGGAUCAAAUGGAUGCUGCUCAUAGGAAGGAGGAUGUCGAUCCAAUCGAAGAAGGGGGUCGUACCAUGGCUGGUUCAGGAAAGAUGCCCCAAAAGAAGCCCAAGAAGAAGAAGCCCAAGAACAGUGGAGAUGUGAUUGCUGGAGCAUUAGAGAAGUACAUAGAGCUGAAGAAAAGGCAAGUAGAUGAUGAAGCUACAUACUUGGACAAUGAAAGGGCAGAGGCAACAAAAUUAGAUGACUUGUCUAUCACCAAAUGCAUGGAUGUGCUCAAAACAAUGGAGGAUGUCACCCGCGCAGAGAAGAUCAAGGUGUUCAAUGUCUUCAAGGAUGCUGCAAACCGUGAAAUUUUCAUAAAUGCCGCUGAUGAUGAUAAAGAGACCACUGUUAUGUGGCUCCGGAGUCAAAUGUUCCCAUGA
rnacentral:rRNA from 1 species